AACGAACGCUGGCGGCAUGCCUAACACAUGCAAGUCGAACGAGACCUUCGGGUCUAGUGGCGCACGGGUGCGUAACGCGUGGGAACCUGCCCUUAGGUUCGGAAUAACUCCCCGAAAGGGGUGCUAAUACCGGUUAAUGUAUUCGGACCAAAGAUUUAUCGCCUUUGGAUGGGCCCGCGUUGGAUUAGCUAGUUGGUAGGGUAAAAGCCUACCAAGGCGACGAUCCAUAGCUGGUCUGAGAGGAUGACCAGCCACACUGGGACUGAGACACGGCCCAGACUCCUACGGGAGGCAGCAGUGGGGAAUAUUGGACAAUGGGCGCAAGCCUGAUCCAGCAAUGCCGCGUGAGUGAUGAAGGCCUUAGGGUUGUACAGCUCUUUUACCCGGGAUGAUAAUGACAGUACCGGGAGAAUAAGCACCGGCUAACUCCGUG
rnacentral:rRNA from 1 species